UACGUAGGGUGCAAGCGUUGUCCGGAAUUAUUGGGCGUAAAGGGCUCGUAGGCGGUCCGUCACGUCGGGAGUGAAAACUUGGGGCUUAACCCCAAGCCUGCUUCCGAUACGGGCGGACUAGAGGUAGGCAGGGGAGAACGGAAUUCCUGGUGUAGCGGUGAAAUGCGCAGAUAUCAGGAGGAACACCAAUUGCGAAGGCAGCUCGCUGGGACGUUACUGACGCUGAGACGCGAAAGCGUGGGGAGCGAACAGG
rnacentral:rRNA from 1 species